GAUGAACGCUGGCGGCGUGCUUAAUACAUGCGAGUCGAACGGAAAGGCCCUGCUUUUGUGGGGUGCUCGUUUGGCGAACGGGUGAGUAACACGCGAGUAACCUGCCCUUGACUUUGUGAUAACUUUAGGAAACUGGGGCUAAUACCGGAUAGGAGCUCUUGCUGCAUGGUGGUGGUUGGAAAGUUUCGGCGGUUGUGGAUGGACUCGCGGCUUAUCAGCUGGUUUGUGAGGUAGUGGCUUACCAAGGCUUUGACGGGUAGCCGGCCUGAGAGGGUUACCGGCCACAUUGGGACUGAGAUACGCCCCAGACUCCUACGGGAGGCAGCAGUGGGGAAUCUUGCACAAUGGGCGGAAGCCUGAUGCAGAAACGCCGCGUGCGGGAUGACGGCCUUCGGGUUGUAAACCGAUUUCGCCUGUGACGAAGCGUGAGUGACGGUAAUGGGUAAAGAAGCACCGGCUAACUACGUG
rnacentral:rRNA from 1 species